UAAGGAAUAUUGGUCAAUGGACGCAAGUCUGAACCAGCCAUGCCGCGUGUAGGAUGAAGGUCCUCUGGAUUGUAAACUUCUUUUAUCUGGGACGAAACACUUCUUUUCUAAGAGGCCUGACGGUACCAGAUGAAUAAGCACCGGCUAACUCCGUGCCAGCAGCCGCGGUAAUACGGAGGGUGCAAGCGUUAUCCGGAUUCACUGGGUUUAAAGGGUGCGUAGGUGGGUAUGUAAGUCAGUGGUGAAAUCCCCGAGCUUAACUUGGGAACUGCCAUUGAUACUAUAUAUCUUGAAUAUUGUGGAGGUAAGCGGAAUAUGUCAUGUUGCGGUGAAAUGCUUAGAUAUGACAUAGAACACCAAUUGCGAAGGCAGCUUGCUACACAAUCAUUGACGCUGAGGCACGAAAGCGUGGGGAUCAAACA
rnacentral:rRNA from 1 species